AGAGUUUGAUCAUGGCUCAGAACGAACGUUGGCGGCGUGGAUUAGGCAUGCAAGUCGAACGAAUCCCGCCUCUCACCCCGCCCUCGUUUAGCCGCGACCGUCAGGGAGCGUUUAAACAGGGCGAGGUGAGGGGCGGGGGAAGUGGCGAAAGGGGCAGUAAGGCGUGGGUAACCUACCCUCCGGACCGGGAUAGCCGCGGGAAACCGCGGGUAAUACCGGGAGACGUUGGCCGGUCGCAUGAUCGGCUUACCAAACGGUCCGCCGCCGGGGGAGGGGCUCACGUGGUAUUAGCUGGUUGGUGAGGUAACGGCUCACCAAGGCCAAGAUGCCUAGCGGGUGUGAGAGCACGACCCGCGCCACUGGCACUGAGACACUGGCCAGACUCCUACGGGAGGCUGCAGUCGAGGAUCUUCGGCAAUGGGCGCAAGCCUGACCGAGCGACGCCGCGUGUGCGAUGAAGGCCUUCGGGUUGUAAAGCACUGUCGAGGGGGAGGAAAGCCCGUAAGGGUCUGACCUAUCCCUGGAGGAAGCACGGGCUAAGUUCGUGCCAGCAGCCGCGGUAAGACGAACCGUGCGAACGUUGUUCGGAAUCACUGGGCUUAAAGGGCGCGUAGGCGGUUUCCCAAGUCCGGGGUGAAAUCUUUCGGCUCAACCGGAAAAGGGCCUUGGAUACUGGGAAACUGGGGGGAGGUAGGGGCAGCUGGAACUUCCGGUGGAGCGGUGAAAUGCGUUGAUAUCGGAAGGAACGCCGGUGGCGAAAGCGAGCUGCUGGCCCUCUUCUGACGCUGAGGCGCGAAAGCCAGGGGAGCAAACGGGAUUAGAUACCCCCGUAGUCC
rnacentral:rRNA from 1 species